GGCGGGACACGUGGUAUCCUGUCUGAAUAUGGGGGGACCAUCCUCCAAGGCUAAAUACUCCUGACUGACCGAUAGUGAACCAGUACCGUGAGGGAAAGGCGAAAAGAACCCCGGCGAGGGGAGUGAAAAAGAACCUGAAACCGUGUACGUACAAGCAGUGGGAGCCUCUUUAUGGGGUGACUGCGUACCUUUUGUAUAAUGGGUCAGCGACUUAUAUUCUGUAGCAAGGUUAACCGUAUAGGGGAGCCGAAGGGAAACCGAGUCUUAACUGGGCGUUAAGUUGCAGGGUAUAGACCCGAAACCCGGUGAUCUAGCCAUGGGCAGGUUGAAGGUUGGGUAACACUAACUGGAGGACCGAACCGACUAAUGUUGAAAAAUUAGCGGAUGACCUGUGGCUGGGGGUGAAAGGCCAAUCAAACCGGGAGAUAGCUGGUUCUCCCCGAAAGCUAUUUAGGUAGCGCCUCGUGAACUCAUCUUCGGGGGUAGAGCACUGUUUCGGCUAGGGGGCCAUCCCGGCUUACCAACCCGAUGCAAACUACGAAUACCGAAGAAUGUUAUCACGGGAGACACACGGCGGGUGCUAACGUCCGUCGUGAAGAGGGAAACAACCCAGACCGCCAGCUAAGGUCCCAAAGUCAUGGUUAAGUGGGAAACGAUGUGGGAAGGCACAGACAGCCAGGAUGUUGGCUUAGAAGCAGCCAUCAUUUAAAGAAAGCGUAAUAGCUCACUGGUCGAGUCGGCCUGCGCGGAAGA
rnacentral:rRNA from 1 species